UUACACACCGCCCGUCACACCACGAAAGCUGUCUGAACCAGAAGCCGCUGACCAACCGCAAGGGAGGGAGGCGCCAAGGUUUGAGUAGUGAUUGGGGUG
rnacentral:rRNA from 1 species